rnacentral:rRNA from 1 species
UACGUAGGGUGCAAGCGUUGUCCGGAAUUAUUGGGCGUAAAGAGCUCGUAGGCGGUUUGUCGCGUCUGCUGUGAAAACUCGGGGCUUAACCCCGGGCCUACAGUGGGUACGGGCAGACUAGAGUGCGGUAGGGGAGACUGGAAUUCCUGGUGUAGCGGUGAAAUGCGCAGAUAUCAGGAGGAACACCGGUGGCGAAGGCGGGUCUCUGGGCCGUAACUGACGCUGAGGGACGAAAGCUAGGGGAGCGAAUGGG